UACGAAGGGGGCUAGCGUUGUUCGGAAUCACUGGGCGUAAAGCGCACGCAGGCGGAUCGAUAAGUCGGGGGUGAAAGCCCGGGGCUCAACCUCGGAACUGCAUUCGAUACUGUCGGUCUCGAGUCCGGGAGAGGUGAGUGGAAUUCCUAGUGUAGAGGUGAAAUUCGUAGAUAUUAGGAGGAACACCAGUGGCGAAGGCGGCUCACUGGCCCGGUACUGACGCUCAGGUGCGAAAGCGUGGGGAGCAAACAGG
rnacentral:rRNA from 1 species